CCUACGGGUGGCAGCAGUGAGGAAUAUUGGUCAAUGGCCGGGAGGCUGAACCAGCCAAGUCGCGUGAGGGAAGACGGCCCUACGGGUUGUAAACCUCUUUUGUCAGGGAGCAAGGUGCAGGUCGGGACCUGCUGUGAGAGUACCUGAAGAAAAAGCAUCGGCUAACUCCGUGCCAGCAGCCGCGGUAAUACGUAGGGAGCAAGCGUUAUCCGGAUUUACUGGGUGUAAAGGGCGUGUAGGCGGGCAUGCAAGCCAGAAGUGAAAUCUGGGGGCUUAACCCCCAAACUGCUUUUGGAACUGCGUGUCUUGAGUGAUGGAGAGGCAGGCGGAAUUCCCAGUGUAGCGGUGAAAUGCGUAGAUAUUGGGAGGAACACCAGUGGCGAAGGCGGCCUGCUGGACAUUAACUGACGCUGAGGCGCGAAAGCGUGGGGAGCAAACAGGAUUAGAUACCCGGGUAGUC
rnacentral:rRNA from 1 species